rnacentral:tRNA from 1 species
GGUGGCUCAGUGGUAGAGCGCUUGCCUAGCAUGCAGGAAGCCCUGGGUUCGAUUCCUCAGUACCA